GACGAACGCUGGCGGCGUGCUUAACACAUGCAAGUCGAACGGGAUCUGAUGGGGCUUUUGCUUUGUUGGUGAGAGUGGCGAACGGGUGAGUAACACGUGAGUAACCUGCCCUCAACAUUUGAAUAACUCCAUGAAAGUGGGGCUAAUGCAAUAUAUUCUGCAGUCAUCGCAUGGUGGUUGUGGGAAACGGUUUUUUCUGGUUGGGGAUGGGCUCGCGGCCUAUCAGCUUGUUGGUGGGGUGAUGGCCUACCAAGGCGGUGACGGGUAGCCGGCCUGAGAGGGUGGACGGCCACACUGGGACUGAGAUACGGCCCAGACUCCUACAGGAGGCAGCAGUGGGGGAUUUUGCACAAUGGGCGCAAGCCUGAUGCAACGACGCCGCGAGAGGGAUGACGGCCUUCCGGUUGUAAGCCUCUUUCGCUGGGUUGGAAGACGCUUUUUGGACUUGGUGACGUGUAACUGGCAAAGAAGUACCGGCUAACUACGUGCCAGCAGCCGCGGUAAUACGUAGGGUACUAGCGGUGUCCGGAGUUAUUGGGCGUAAAGGGCUGUAGGGUGGUUUGUCGCGUCUGUCGUGAAAACCCGGGGCUUAACUCCGGGCUUGCGGUGGGUACGGGCAGGCUUGAGUGCGGUAGGGGAGACUGGAAUUCCUGGUGUAGCGGUGGAAUGCGCAGAUAUCAGGAGGAAUACCGGUGGCGAAGGCGGGUCCCUGGGCCGUUACUGACACUGAGGAGCGAAAGCGUGGGGAGCGAACAGGAUUAGAUACCCUGGUAGUCCACGCUGUAAACGUUGGGCACUAGUUGUGGGGGCUUUUGUUGGUUUCCGCGACGUAGCUAACGCAUUAAGUGCCCCGCCUGGGGAGUACGGCCGCAAGGCUAAAACUCAAAGGAAUUGACGGGGACCCGCACAAGCGGCGGAGCAUGCGGAUUAAUUCGAUGCAACGCGAAGAACCUUACCAAGGCUUGACAUGCACCGGACGGCUCUAGAGAUAGGGUUUCCCUUUGUGGCUGGUGUGCAGGUGGUGCAUGGUUGUCGUCAGCUCGUGUCGUGAGAUGUUGGGUUAAGUCCCGCAACGAGCGCAACCCUUGUCUAGUGUUGCCAGCAAGUAGUGUUGGGGACUCUCUAGAGACUGCCGGGGUUAACUCGGAGGAAGGUGGGGAUGACGUCAAAUCAUCAUGCCCCUUAUGUCUUGGGCUUCACGCAUGCUACAAUGGGCGGUACAGUGGGUUGCAAUACCGUGAGGUGGAGCUAAUCCCCAAAGCCGUUCUCAGUUCGGAUCGUAGUCUGCAACUCGACUACGUGAAGGUGGAGUCGCUAGUAAUCGCAGAUCAGCAUUGCUGCGGUGAAUACGUUCUCGGGUCU
rnacentral:rRNA from 1 species